GUCUCAAAGAUUAAGCCAUGCAUGUCUAAGCAUGAGCCGAAUAAUGGUGAAGCCGCGAUGGCUCAUUACAACAGCCGUUGUUUCUUGGAUCUUACUUUACUUGGAUAACUGUGGUAAUUCUAGAGCUAAUACAUGCAACCAAGCUCCGACCUCGCGGAAGGAGCGCAUUUAUUAGACCAAGACCAAUCAGAUUCGUCUGAAACUUGGUGACUCUGAAUAACUUUGCUGAUCACAUGGUCUUAGCACCGGUGACAUAUCUUUCAAGUGUCUGCCCUAUCAACUUUCGAUGGUAGUUUAUGUGCCUACCAUGGUUGUAACGGGUAACGGAGAAUAAGGGUCGACUCCGGAGAGGGAGCCUGAGAAAUGGCUACCACAUCCAAGGAAGGCAGCAGGC
rnacentral:rRNA from 1 species